CGAGUUAUUAUUUUGGAGGCCCAAACUCAUUGCUAUUACGGAUAUUUUCACAAGCUGAUCAGAAUACCAUCAAAAGCCAUUUUUUUUAUGUGAGGAUUAAUGGAAGGGGUUUCAUCCACGCUGCCAAUUUCCUCCGAUAAAACCCCCUCCACGUAUCAAAUCCAUCACCAACUCCUUACUAUAAUCCAUCACCCAACUCUCACCGAGCAUCAGCCACCGGUGGAGCUCUUCUCUAUCUCCAUCAGUCUACAAGAAGAAAUUCCAUCAUAUCCUCCUUCUCUUCAAAUCAUCUGCAGGCAUAGCAACCCCACAAAACAAAAGUUCCAUCUUCAACCAACUCCCAUUCUCACAGAGAAACCAAAAAUCAUUUUUCACAAGAGGUAAACCAACUCUCACUAAUCAAUCAUUUGUUUCACAAAGAAGCUAUCUUUUUCAUGUUUUUGUUGGCGUGUGCGUGUGUAUGUGUGCUGCUGUGUGCGUGAGUUCUUAGAACUGUCGUCGUCGUUGUGGCGAGUCGGGCAGGUUGGGAUCGAGAGAGAACAGGGGAGGAUCCGGCGACGGCAGUGGUGGCCUGAGGCUCCUACUGGCCGUCUGCCAGAAAUAGAGAGAGAAAGAGGAGCGGCGGUCCGGCUGACUGCUGCUGUCGGCUGGAGCAGAGGGGGAUGGCUGCAGAACGAAGCCGCCGGCGCUGCGCGCCACGGCGGCCGACGGAGGAAGAGAAGGGGGCAGCGGGGCGGUGGCCUAUUAGCUGCUGCUGCUUGCCGGUUGGACGGAGAGAAGGGUUAGGCGAGAGGGAGACAGAGGAGGUGGCGAUGGCGUCGGCCGCAGCUGCUGUUGUCGCCGACAGUCGCUGAUGGCGACGACUUCGCCGGAGGAAGGAGGCGGUGGAUGGGUAGGCGGGAGCUUAGGGCUUUUGACGAUUUUGGGGAUUUAGGAUUUCUGCUUUUGGGGGUUCGGUGAGUUGAGGGAGGAGGGAGAAAGAUAGAGAGAGGGAGGUAUUAGCGUAAGAAAAAGGAAAGGGGAAAGGUACUUGGGCCUUGGGCCUUUUAUUUAAUAAAGUGGGCUGCAUUUUUAUAACUUGGGCUAUUAAUUUUUUUUUUUUUGUGCUGCAUUUUUGCAUGAAGAAGGCCUCUUAUUAAAUUAUUAAUCGGGCCAUGAAUUUACUUAUUUGUGAAUUGAGUUUUUAAAGUAAAAGCCGAGCAAGGGUAUUAUUAAAACCCUUAGCCAAGAAAAAUGAUUUUCAAGUUUUAUGUUGAAUUUUUUUUGAAAACCCGGGUGUUGCGAAUCUAGUUAGAAAAUUAUGAUAAGUCAUGAAGGUUAAGCUUGAUUUUAGGACUAUGAGUUUAAGUUGAGAACUUAUCUUGUAGGUCCUACAGAAGAGGAUAUUUAGGCUCUUGGUCAGCUGAGUUAUAUUGUUUGGAUAUUCUCCAAAUCAGGUGAGGCUUUAUUUACGAAAUGUAUGUUUGAGCUAAUAAGCUCGUUUUUAUGAAAAGUUAAAGUUGAUGGUUCAUGCUUAAAAUGUUUUUGCUCUCUAUUGGUUAUUGCUUCUACCAGAACAUUGUUGGCUCCGCCAACCAGAACAUUGUUAGCUCUGCUAACCAGAAUUGUGUACGUACACCAGAACCUGUUGUCUCGAGAGAUCGGUGACAACCAGUUGUAGAUAGCAUGCCCAAUAGAUGGCCAGGAAAAUACGAGCUCAGAUUAUUUUAGUAUGCAUGGAAUGACUCACUUUAAAAACAUUCUGUGUUAUACUGUUUAAGGCAUGAAUUAUCUUUUUCACUAAAUAAUUUUUAAAAUGUUUUUAAAUGGCUCAACCCACUGAGUACACUAGUACUCAGCCCUGCAAUUGUUUUCAAAACCUUUUGCAGAUUGAGCAGCUGGUGGUGACGUGCGAGGCUGAGGAAGAGUUGUUGCUAUGGAUUUUGAAGAAAUGCUAUGUUUACUUCCGCUGAAAUAAAUUCACUUAGUGAAUAUUGUCUGAUGCCUAACUUUGUUAAUACUUUUAUUCAUAUUUUUGAUAUGAAUUUCACUCUCCAUCACUUUCCUAGCGAUUGUUUUCCGCACCUAUUAUAUGCUUAGUAUGAGACGUUGUCUUGGUCUCAGACCUUCGAACUUUCGAUCCUGAUAGGGAGAAUAAUUAUGUUAUAAUAUCGUACUUGUUCUCAUUUAAAUACGGCAUAAUGCCCAAUCCUCAGGGCACAUUACCUAUUUUAUUCAAGUAAAGCUUAGUAAUCCUGUCACAUAGCCCAUUUCUUUUUCUCCCGGGAAAUCAGGGCUGUCACAAAUGGUAUCAGAGCAAAAGUUCUUGGCUCUGAGACCGCUAUUUCAUUGAUGUUGAGUCUAGAAUAGCAUCUCUAGACUUCUAAGCUACACAGCAACCCUCAGCUCGCCUUCACACCGCUCUCAAGAAAGAAAGGUACGCCAUUUUAACAAAUUUUACUUAAAGUGUGUACAAGUAUUUAAAGUGGUUUUAAAAGCAAGAGUUCUUGUUAAAAGAAAAUAUUUCAGUUUGUUGUAUUAUUUUACAACUAGAUUCCCAAAAAGAUGUUAUUUCGAGCUUUAGCUUGAAUAACCAGAAAGUUUGUCAUGUUUUAUGACUAGAAAGAUUUGUCAUAUCCAGAAAGUUUGUCAUGUUUGUAUGACCAGAAAGAUUUGUCAUAUUCAUGACCAGAAAGUUGUCAUAUUUUUAUGACCAGUAUUUGAGCUUUGACUCCAGAAUCAGUUAUAUGUUACAACCAGAACAGUCAGUGAAAUUGUCAUAAUGAUUUUUACGUCUUUAUGACCAGCAGCUAUUAAUAGGCAGACCUAGUUUGUCGCCUCAGUUAUUAGUUCAGACAGGUGUAAUUUUCUCGUAGCUAGAGAAAUACACUAGAUAGUAGCAUGCUAAUCUUAUGAGAUAGACUCCUAGCAUGAAGCGCUAGAAGAAUCAAGAAAAGUUAGAGUGCUCUACAGAAACACGUAUAACUUAGAAAGCUCGAAUGGAAAGAUAGAACGAAGCAAGACAGAACAUAGAAAGACAUCAUACGAAGAGAAAGAACAUAGAAGUUUAGAAUUUAGAAAGAUAGAUCACAGAAGACAAAAGAGAAGAACAAGACGUCAAAGAACGAGCCGAAGAUAAGCCGAACGACACAUAAACGGUACCAUGCCAUCUACAAGUAUGAAAGACUCAAGGACUUUGCACGAACAUGUACUGAUCAAUUUGAAGCUAACGCAACCUCGCCACAAGCUAAGAAGAAUUUGAAGCUACAAAAAGAAGAAGACCCCACUAAAUAGUCGGGUUAUCGAUUAUAUACUUCCUAACCAUAAACCUUUCGUUGAAGACCUUUAUUUCAUUUUAAUUAAAGUCCCGACACUUCUGGGCAUAUAUGUAUCCCUAAAGUAAAUCUUUUAAAGAGCUUAAUUUCUCUUGUCUAAAAAGCCCUGAUACUUUUGAACGCACAAAAGGACCAUUUUGAAAAGACCUUAUUUUACUAAAAUCACUUGAGAAUUCUCUUUCGAGGCAUAAAUUUUUCAUUCUUACCUUUAUGAGUUUUUCAUUCACACCUUGAUGAGUGUUGUUGUUGUCUCUCUCUCGCAACACACCUAGUUAUUUUUACUUAUGCACUUCCAAUAUUAUUAAGCUUUCACUAACCAAGUUGUUUCUACAGAAUGGCCGGAGAAGAAGAAAGGGUACCUAACGCCGAAGAACCUACGCUGCAAGCCGCACCAGAGCGCAGAGCGAGUGAAAGGUUCCGCAAGCAUAAUCCACCCAUUUUCAAUGGAAUGGGAGAUCCAAUGGAUGCAGAAAAAUGGAUCCGAUCAUUGGAGCGAAUCUUUGACUUCAUGGGUCUUACUGAUAAGGAGCGUUUGACAUGCGCUAUCUUUCAACUAACAGACGAGGCCGACUAUUGGUGGGAGUCAAUGCAAAGAACAUUAUCGCCACAACAAUGGGAGGCAUAUACGUGGGAAAAUUUCAAAGCAGAAUUGUACGAGAAGUAUAUUCCUCAGAGUUACCGAAUUAAGAAAGAGUCCGAAUUCUAGAACCUUCGACAAGAGAACAGAUCUGUAACUGAGUACGAUAGAUUGUUUGUCCAGUUAUCACGCUACGCUCCACACUUGGUGGAUACUGAGGAGAAAAGAUCUGAGAAGUUCAGGCGAGGCCUACGACACGAAAUAGGAAUGCCUUUGGCCAGUCAAGGGAUACUAACUUAUGCUCAAUCUUUGAGCAGAGCUCGAGAUAUUGAAGCUAUGAUGCCAGAAGAAAUGAAAGCACCUAUUCAUGCCCUUGACGAUAAGCGUGUGAAUAACAAACGAAAAAGAGCAUGGCAAGGAACAAAUCAACAAAUACAGCAAGAUCAACAAGAAGGGCGAAAUGACCAGCAACAAGUACCAUUUUGCCAUAAUUGCCACAAAAAUCACUUCGGAGUUUGCAAAGCUGGAAGCGACGCUUGCUACAAGUGUGGAGAAAAGGGUCACUUUGCUCGACAAUGCCCAGGAACACCACUGGGAGGCCCUCAGCAGCAAAAUCAAAACAAGGAAGAAACCGAGGCAAAAGACCACUCCAAAUGGCCAGAGCUUAUGCCCUUAACCAGCAACAUACAGCUCAGGCAACUGAAGACUUGGAAGGUACGAUCAUAUAAUUGACGUACUAGAAUAAGUAGAGUUUGUAGUAAUAAUAAGUUAUCUUUCAGGAUGAUAUUCAGAUCAAGAAAGCAAGCAUAUUUUCAGUAGAAUCACUAACAGAAUGAGUAUAUGAUAGCUAUAAGUGAAAUGACACUUAGAAGUUCGAAAUUUCGAGGACGAAAUUUUUUUUAAGGAGGGAGGGUUGUAAUACCCGAAUUUUUCUCAAUAUGAUUUUAGAAGAAUGAUUGGGUUUAGAAUUAAGUCGAUUCGCACCCCGGAGAAAAUUUGUUUUAAUUCAGAUAAAUGGUUUGUUAAAAUUUUGAGGCAAAUUUGUCAAUGGGCCUUAUUUGAUUAUGAUAUGGGAUCAUUUAUUUUUUUUAUAGUGGGCCGAGUUAUUAUUUUGGAAGCCCAAACCCAUUACUAUUAUCCGAUAUUAAGAAAAGCAUGUGUAGUUUUGAAUUAGAUAUUUUAUUAUUUUAUUUAUUAAUUAUUGGAAGGGGUUCAUCCACGUCACAUGUUUUCCCUUUUAUUCCCUAUAAAAUCCAUGUGUAGAUCAGCCAAAUCUUUCACCCAAAACUCUCAACAAAUCCAUCACCCAACUCGUAACUCAGCAAUCAGUGGAGCUUUUCCCUUCUUCAAUUCUUUUCAACAACAAGCUUAUCAUUUUUCUUCUUUCACGGAAGGUUUCUGCUUCUGUAUUUUUACAGAAAGCCUGCAUUGAUCUCAUCUAUGAUAAUCCACACAGACAACAACCCACAAAAUCCUUGAGAAAAGGUUUGAUCUUACACCCAUCUAUUCAUGACUUAUAUACUCUUUUCACUACUUCACAAAGAAGACAAUCACGGAUGGCACAUACAUAUUUCAUAUACAGAAUCAACACUAACAAGGAUUUCACUUUUCACUCAUAAGAACAAAACAUGUAUUGAAAUUUGUAGAUUUAUUUACACACCUGCAAAUCUUGUCUUAUAAUUGAGAUCAUUAAAGAGAUGGAAUAAAAAGAAGAAGCUUUUUGUGUAUAUGUUGGUGUGUGUACUGCUGUGUGCGUGAGUCUUAGAGGGGCUGUGUCGUCGUCCGAACUGAGGGAGAACGGAGGAGGGAGAGGGGAUUGGCGACGGCGGCGGUGGCCUGAUGCUCCUGCUGCCCGUCGAUCCAGAGAGGGUGAGAGUGGCGGUGGCGGGUAGCUACUGCUGCUGCUCUCCGGCUGAAACAGAGGGAGUGGGGCGACGAUGUCAGAGAGAAUGAGGGAGGCGGCGAUGGCGGUGGUCCGGCUGACCGCUGUUUUCGGCUGAAGCAGAGGGGGCGGUUCCGGCGGUUACGUCGCCGGAAAUCGAAGGAAAGAGAACCUAGGGUUGCUGAUUUGGGAAAUUUUUGUGAGGGAAGAGAUAAGGGGGACGAGCGAGAGAGCGAAAGUCGGGAGAAGGAAGGAAAGUCAGAGGGAGCGGCGGCGGCGGCACUCGCCGGCCGUCUGUCGACGGGAAAUUGAGAGAAAAGGGGGAGAGUUUCAUUAGCUACUUCAUCUGGUUCAGUUUUGAGAAUGAAAGAACGGGGUUUGAGUGAUUUUGAUGAGGGGAAGAAGGUGGUGGUGGCAGCUGGUGGCGAUUUCGCCGGGAAUGGAAGGCGGCGGCGUCGACAGGAGAGAAGAGGAAAAGAGAGAGAGACCGAAGGGGAGAGUGAGAGAGUGUCUGUGUGUGUACGUUGAGAAAAAGGAGAAGAAAGGAGAGAUUGAAGAAGGUGAGUUGGGCUCUAGCUUUGGGCCUUUAAUUUUAUUAAGUGGGCUGCAUUUUUUAUAACUUGGGCUUCAUGCAUAUAUUUCUAUUGGGCUGCAUGUUUAUUUGUUUGGUUAUAUGUUUUAAUUAUAAGUUAAAGUCUUACAAAUAUUUGUAAGCAAAAUAUUUUUAAGUUGAUUUUAUGCUCAAGAUGAGUUUUUAAGUAAAAGCCGAGCAAGGAUAUUAUUGAAAUCCUUAGCCAAGAAAAAUGAUUUUCAAGUUUUAUGUUGAAUUUUUGAAAAUCCGGGUGUUGCGAAUCUAGUUAGAAAUGAUGACAAGUCAUGAAGGUUAAGCUUGAUUUUAGGACUAUGAGUUUAAGUUGAGAACUUAUCUUGUAGGUCCUACAGAAGAGGAUAUUUAGGCUCUUGUUCAGCUGAGUUAUUUGUUUGGAUUUUCUCCAAAUCAGGUGAGGCUUUAUUUACGAAAUGUAUGUUUGAGCUAAUAAGCUCGGUUUUAUGUAAAGUUAAAGAUGAUGGUUCAUGCUUAAAAUGUUUUUGCUCUCUAUUGGUUACUGCUUCUACCAGAACAUUGUUGGCUCCGCCAACCAGAACAUUGUUAGCUCUGCUAACCAGAAUUGUGUACGUACACCAGAACCUGUUGUCUCGAGAGAUCGGUGACAACCAGUUGUAGAUAGCAUGCCCAAUAGAUGGCCAGGAAAAUAUGAGCUCAGAUUAUUUUAGUAUGCAUGGAAUGACUCGUCUUUAAAAACAUUCUGUGUUAUACUGUUUAAAGGCAUGAAUUAUCUUUUUCAGUAAAUGAUUUUUAAAAUGUUUUUAAAUGGCUCAACCCACUGAGUACACUAGUACUCAGCCCUGCAAUUGUUUUCAAAACCUUUUGCAGAUUGAGCAGCUGGUGGUGACGUGCGAGGCUGAGGAAGGGUUGUUGCUGUGGAUUCUGAAGAAAUACUGCGUUUACUUCUCCUAAAAUAAAUUCACUUAGUGAAUAUUAUCUGAUGCCUAAUUAUAUUAAUACUUUUAUUCAUAUUUCUAAUAUGAAUUUCAUUCUCCAUCACUUUUCUAGCGAUUGUUUUUCGCAUCUAUUAUAUGCUUAGUAUGAGACGUUGUUUUGGUCUCAGACCUUCGAACUUCCGAUCCUGAUAGGGAGAAUAAUUAUGUUAUAAUGUCGUACUUGUUUUCAUUUAAAUACGGCAUAAUGUCCAACCCUCAGGGCACAUUACCUAUUUUAUUCAAGUAAAGCUUAGUAGUCCUGUCACAUAGCCCAUUUCUUAUUCUCCCGGGAAAUCAGGGCUGUCACA
rnacentral:lncRNA from 1 species